CACGUAGGGCGCAAGCGUUGUCCGGAAUUAUUGGGCGUAAAGAGCUCGUAGGCGGUCUGUUGCGUCCGCUGUGAAAACUCGGGGCUUAACCCCGAGCCUGCAGUGGAUACGGGCAGACUAGAGGUAGGUAGGGGAGAAUGGAAUUCCCGGUGUAGCGGUGAAAUGCGCAGAUAUCAGGAGGAACACCGAUGGCGAAGGCAGGUCUCUGGGCCACUACUGACGCUGAGAAGCGAAAGCAUGGGGAGCGAACAGG
rnacentral:rRNA from 1 species